rnacentral:rRNA from 1 species
UACGUAGGUGACAAGCGUUGUCCGGAUUUACUGGGCGUAAAGAGCGCGCAGGCGGUCGUUCAAGUCGAGUGUGAAAGCCCCCGGCUCAACUGGGGAGGGUCACUCGAUACUGAUCGACUUGAAGGCAGGAGAGGGAAGCGGAAUUCCCGGUGUAGUGGUGAAAUGCGUAGAUAUCGGGAGGAACACCAGUGGCGAAGGCGGCUUCCUGGCCUGCUCUUGACGCUGAGGCGCGAAAGCUAGGGGAGCAAACAGG